rnacentral:rRNA from 1 species
UACGAAGGGGGCUAGCGUUGUUCGGAAUCACUGGGCGUAAAGGGUGCGUAGGCGGGUCUUUAAGUCAGGGGUGAAAUCCUGGAGCUCAACUCCAGAACUGCCUUUGAUACUGAAGAUCUUGAGUUCGGGAGAGGUGAGUGGAACUGCGAGUGUAGAGGUGAAAUUCGUAGAUAUUCGCAAGAACACCAGUGGCAAAGGCGGCUCACUGGCCCGAUACUGACGCUGAGGCACGAAAGCGUGGGGAGCAAACAGG